GGGAGAAGGAGAAGCAGGCUUCCCGCGGAGCAGGGAGCCCGAUGCGGGGCUCGAUCCCAGGAUCUGGGAUCAUAACCUGAGCCAAAGGCAGAUGCUUAACAACUGAGCCACCCAGGCAGCCCUAAUUCUGUCUUAUUUAAAGACUAUUCACUAUAGAUGUUAACUACAAAAUACCUUCACAGCAAUACCUAGAUUAGUGUUUGAAAAGUUGAAAACUAUAACUUAGCCACGUUGACCUGUCAAACUCACACUACCCUCACACUCUUUUCAAUUCACUCCAGCCAUACCAGUCCCCUUGAUGAUCCUCAACCCACCAGACAUGUUCCUGUCUGAAGACUUUUGUACCUUACUGUUUGCUCUCCAGAAUGCUCUUCUACAGACAGCCACAUGGCUACCUCUAUCUUCCCUUUAAGUCUUUUUCCUUAGGUCUUUUCAGAACUUCUCACUCCAUAUCUAAAAUUGCAACCCUGCCUACACAGCCAUGCCCUAUAAGAUUCCACUUCUCCCUCUGUCCUCUAUUUUUCUCCUAAUCCUUACUAUUGUGAAGCAUACUAUAUAUUUUGCUUAUUUAUCUUCCUUAUUGUCUACAUUGCCCCUAGAGCAAAGAUUAAAUAAACAGUGGGUUAUAGUAAUGUACAUCAAUCCUAUAACUUUAUCAUUUCAUGGUCUCCAAAGAAAGAGUGGUAUUUCCUGAUAACCAGGGUUCCACCCUCUGUCCCUGUGUAUUUGACUAAUUUCGGUCAUUUAAUCGGAGUCAUGCAAUGUUUGUCCUUUUGUGGCCCUAAUUUCACCUAGCACAAUGUUUGUAUGGUUCAUGCGUGUUGUAGCAUGAAGGCCUGUGGCAUUUGUCAUGUUGCAGGACUUAAUACCUGAAUGAGGGGAGCCUGGGUGGCUCAGUCGUUAAGCAUCUACCUUCGGCUCAGGUCAUGAUCCCAGGGUCCUGGGAUUGAGCCCCACUGUCGGGCUCCCUGCUCAGUGCGGAGCUUGCUUUUCUCUGUCCCUCUGCCCCUCCCCCCUGCUUGUGCACUCUCUCUCUCUCUCUCUCUCUCUCGUAAAUAAAUAAAAUCUUUAAAAAAAAAAAGAAACUACGUUUAGGAGCCUCAAGAAGUUUACAAGAUAUUUAAGACUACCUAAUACUGCUUUAUCAGUUUGGCAGUACACAGAACCUUUGACAAUGUUCUAAUGAACUCUCCAGAAAGGAGGGGAAAUGUAUUUAUUUGAAGAGAUUAUAUUCCUCAACUUGUACUUGGCAGAUUACUAUAGCUAGAUUAAACAAACAGUGGGUUAUAGUAAUGUACAUAAAUCCUAUAACUUUAUCAUUUCAUGGUGUCCAAAGAAAGAGUGGUAUUUCCUGAUAACCAGGGUUCUACUCUCUGUCCCUGUGUAUUUGACUAAUUUAGGCCAUUUAAGUGGAGUCAUGCAAUUUUGUCCUUUUGUGGCCCUAAUUUUACCUAGCAUAAUGUUUGUAUGGUUCAUGCGUGUUGUAGCAUUUAUCAGAAUUGCAGUCAUUGAAAAAAAGGAAUAAUAUGGCCUUGUAUGUAUAUAUUACAUUUUGUGUAUCCAUUCAUCUGUUCAUGGGACACUUGAGUUGUUUCUCCUUUGGAGGUGUUGGAAGUCGCACCACUUCUAUUGCUUCUCGGCCCUUUGGCUAAGAUUAAGUGGAAAUCGCACCACUUUUAAGUGGAGACUUGGCUCCUGAUCUAAUGCUCAUUCCCAUAGUAUCAGAGGGAAUUGAUUGCUUUAUAUAACCUCCAGUCUCUUCCACACUUAAGAGGUUUUCAGGGAAAUGGGCAUCUCCUGUAAAAUAAUUAGUUCACUGAAAUAUUGAUGCUGAGCUUUCAUGAAUAAAUGAAUCACACUAAGGUUGGUUGGUCCAUACUUUAAAUCUCCUGAAGAAAAUAUCUCUUUCUCCUUUUCCUCAGUUAAACACACACACACACACACAGUGGUUUACAGGGAGAUACCAAGAGACUACCAAAAGCUGAUGUACUCUCUCUAGAAUUAUUUCUAGAGGUGAAACUUCACUGUGCAACACAGCACAGAACUGCUUCUCAGUAAGGAAGCCCACAGAGCACUUUCUCCAGGAUUCCAUUGUCCCUGUGCCAAGCUUGGGGUAGCAAUUGCAUCACUUCCAAACUCAGGUGUUUCCAACCUACUAGAACACGUGGACAAAGCCUGAGGCAAAUCUGGCUUCUGCCAGUCCCGUCCACACUUGGAGCGCAGCUCUUUCCAGGAUCUCUGCGCAGAGGGUGGCUGGCAUUAGACAAGGCCUGAGCCAGAGGAGAAGAGUACAGAGCAGAGCCAUGAAUAUCAUCUUGGGUCUCCUCCUGCUUCUGCUCACCAUCAUCUACUCCUACUUGGAGGCACUGGUGAAGGUUUUCUUUCCCCGAAGGAGAAAAUCUGUGGCUGGGGAGGUUGUUCUCAUUACAGGAGCCGGGCAUGGAAUAGGCAGGUGGACUGCCUAUGAAUUUGCAAAACGGAAGAGCCGACUGGUUCUGUGGGAUAUUAAUAAGCGCGGUGUUGAGGAAACGGCAGCCGAAUGCAGGCAACUGGGGGCCACUGCGCACGCGUAUGUGGUGGACUGCGGUAACCGAGAAGACAUUUAUAACUCUGUAAAGCAAGUAAAGAAAGAAGUGGGAGAUGUAACCAUCCUGGUGAAUAAUGCUGGGACAAUAUAUCCAGCUGACCUUCUUAGUACCAAGGACGAAGAGAUUACCAAAACUUUUGAGGUCAACAUCCUAGGACACUUUUGGAUCACAAAAGCACUUCUUCCGUCCAUGAUGAAGAGAAAUCAUGGCCACAUUGUCACAGUGGCUUCAGUGUGUGGCCAUGGAGUGAUUCCUUAUCUUAUUCCAUAUUGUUCCAGCAAAUUUGCUGCUGUCGGCUUCCACAGAGCUCUGACAUUAGAACUUGAAACCUUGGGGAAAACCGGAAUCAAAACCUCGUGUCUCUGCCCAGUUUUUGUGAAUACUGGGUUCACCAAAAACCCAAGCACAAGACUGUGGCCUCUUUUGGAGACAGAUGCAGUUGCAAGAAGCUUGAUAGAUGGAAUACUUACCAAUAAGAAGAUGAUUUUUGUCCCAUCAUAUUUCAAUAUCUAUAUAAUACUAGACAAACUGAAUGCCAGGAAAUCCCCCUUUCAGUUAAAGGAUGUGUUGGAAAACAAGUUGCUCUUUGGAAGGACCUGAAGAUGAAUCUGAGGGAGACGAGGUAGACCAGACACCCGGAGGGCUCCCGGAAUCUUGGAAAUCUGGUUCAGGUACUCACCGAAUUUGAAGAAAGAACAAAGGAAAAAGUCAUCCGUGAAAAUAAGUCCUGGUCCGUUACCCUAGAACAAAGAGAAAUCAGUGCGUUGAAGCAGAAAAAUCAAAUUUACCAGAAUUCCCUUCAGGGAGAGGGCUGUAUUUGUGCGGAAGACGAGCCUUGUCGCAUCUGUGUAUGUUGGAAGCUCAGAAAUGGAGAGCAUCUGAAUGUGGGUAAAUGCCCUUUGUAGGACAAGGGGAUGGAUUGUGUGGUAGUUUCAGAGAAGGAGGAGCAAGACACAGGGGUGGAAGGAGGAUGAAGAAAGCCCACGAUGUGACAUCUCUUGAAGACUGCCACUGCCAUUCUUCAUGCAGAUCUCCUGGAAAAAAUCAUGGAAGGCUUGAGCUUAUCCAGGCUGCUUUGAACAAAGGUGAAACACCCAGUUUGAUCUCAGUUGGAAUCAUCAUUUUAGAACCAGGCGGUGGUUCUGGCAGUGUUCUGGAAAACAUGAUCCUCGACAGGCACGAAAGUUCUUCAGAAGUUGCAGUCUGCAGCCAGAGCCCCUGGCCUUCAUUUUCACUCACAGGUGGCUGGGACCAGCAGAGGGGUCAGGGAUCCCCCCGGGUUUGGAGCACAGCCUGGAAGGGCAGGUGUGUAAUCACUCUGGAGGUAAGGAGGGCCUGCUCAUCUACCUCCUGACGGGAAUUUAGGACCCUCAGCCCUGAGUCCUAACUUUACAUAAGAUACAUUUGGAAGUGAGGAGUCCUUGGACCUGAGGAGGAGAGAACCUGGGUCCCCACACCCUCUCACCUGGGCCGAUCCCUUUCCUUCUUUGGGUCCUGGUGUUUUUGAGCUGUAAGGUAAGAGUUUAGGGCUUGAACCCUAAGUCUGGUUCUCAGAAUUCCUAAAGCCUCCACCAUACAUCUGAAAGGAGGAGCAACAAACUGACUUUCUGUUCCUUCACCUAUUUGCGGUUCUAAAUUAUGCAAGUAACACUGUGAGCAUUUGAAUAGAGCCUCUUCCUAAGACUAAGGGCUGAGUGGGAACGACCCAUUUCCUACCCCAGGGCCUGGUCUAUUUCAGUCCGGCGUGGGAGAAUCUUUCUGCUAAGGGACUGAGCAGAGUAUCAGGUUGGAGGGUAGACGCUUUAGAUCCGGUAGACAAACUAUGACCUACAGGCCAACUCUGGCCCACGUAAGUGGUUUUUACAUUUUUUAAUGAUUGAGAAAAAAUGAAAAGGAUACUAUUUUGUGACAUGUGAAAAUGAUAUGAAACUGAAAUUUCAGUAUCCAUAAAUGAAGUCUUUUGUGGAACACACACACGCAAAGAGGUUAAGUAACUUGUUCAGUGUGGCACAGCCAAUGGAUGUGGAGCCUGGACUUGAAGCCAAAUUUCUCCCACUCUGAAGAUCAUUGUUUUGUCUACAACCCUACAUCAUUCUGUGUCAUUUUCCAAGAUGGAUUAUUUCCUUACAAGAAUAUUCAAAGAAAGAGCUUGGGGAACAGCAGAAGCCAGGAGCUUCUUUACAAAUAAAAUUCUUCCUCUGAAAAUGGUGUCGGACAUGUUACCCGAAACUGGAUUCACCUUUUGUGGAAGAGCCAAAAGCCACAAGCAAGCCGAAGACUAGGAAAGGGAAGGCUAUAGUUGAAACAAGGAGAACAUUGGGGAUAUUUCCUAAAAACAGUGUCUCCUUGAACAACACAACUGGUGUCAUUCUCCUUCUAGCUACCAUGUGGACAAUAGAUCAUAGGGGGCAAGAGUGGAAACAGGCGGAGUCCUUGCCAUCGCCAGCGUUUAGACACUUCCCUUAAUCUUGUGUCCCUCCACUAUGACUUCACAUGAAGAUUUUCCUGUUUUCGAGAUUAUCAGUGACUACACUGGAUGUGGACAUUUCCUACCAAACAGCUCUCUUUGGGCUAAGAGACAACUUUCUUUCCGGGAUUCUUGAUAAUGAACACGAGUGAAUGUACAGCAGAUUAAUCUUGGCAUGGUCAAGAAUCAGCGCUCACUCGCUCUGAAGUGCUCCCCUCUGUGCAGAGACAAAGUGGACCUCGGCCAGACUCGCCAGCAUGAACUGAACCCCACUGUUCACAGCGGCUUGUAGCACAAGCCUCCCUGAGUCUGCUUCAGUUGGCAACAUUAAAAGAAACUCGGCCCUUGUUAAUUAUCAGGGCUAAACGCCCAUCCGUUUUUUCCAGCUUCCACUUCGAAAUAAAAUCAGUAUUUCUAAUUCUCAAAGAUUUAAUAAAACACACCUUUCAAAGAGAAUUAAUAUGGAAACUUUGGGGUUUGCAUGCUGCCAAUCACAUCUGAAAUGUAAGUGCCAGGAAAGGGCCUUUCCUAUACCCAGAUAAUUAAUAAUAAAUUGUUUUAUUCUUCUCUUUAGAAAGAUUAAAUUUCCCAAUGUCCUUGGGAAAUUUAAUUUCCUAAUUUUUGUCACCAUGAAUUAUUUUUUAUAAAGUUAUUUCCUGUUUACCAGUUCCUUUGGAACUCUGUGGCAUAAUCACAUUGACAAGCCAAAUAGAUGUACUGGCUGAAGGGACUUUCAUGUCACAUUGCUUGGGUUUGAAUCCCAGCUCUGUCUCUUUCUUAAUUGUGUAACCUUAGGCAAGAUGCUUAACCUCUUCAGGUUUUCUCCUUUAAAAACUGGAGAUAGUAAUAAAAAUAUGUCAUAGGCUUGUAAUGAGGACGCAACUGAGUUAAUCUCUUUAAUGGAUUUUGAACACUAACAGUAGUGCUAUCAAGUAUUAGGUAUUGUUAUUAGCUGCCUCCAAAGUUUUAAAAUGUUUUUGAGGCUAUAAUUCCUUCUUUCUUUCCUUCUUUUUGAGUUUAAUUUUUUAAGUACAUAAUUAAAUGGUUUUAGAUAUAUUCACAAAGCCAUACAACCAUCGCCACUGUGUAAUUCGAGAGCAUUUUCAUCACUGCACAGAGAUUCCUACAUGCUACUCCCCACCCUCUGGCGACCACUCAUUUACCUUUGGUCUCUAUAUUUGCCUGUUAUGGACAUUAUAUAUAAAUGGAAUCAUAGAAUACAUGGCCCUUUGUGUCUGAUUUCUUUUACUUACCAUAGUAUUUUCAAGGUUCAUCCAUGUUGUAGCAUGUAU